rfam:Ictidomys tridecemlineatus contig009392, whole genome shotgun sequence.
GGAGACGUAGCUCAGGGCUAGAGUGUUUGCCUAGCAUGCAUGAGGCCCUGGGUUUGAUUCCCAGCACUUUCC